AAAACUUUUUCGAAAGAAAAAAAAUCUGUUCUUAUCAGUUUAAUAUCUGAUACGUCCCCCAUCCGGGGACUACAUAUUAAAUGGAUUUUUAGAUCACGGAGCUGGAGCCGGGGCUUGCUCCGUCCACUCCAUGCAUCGGCCUGGUAUUGCAGUGUCUCCAGGAACGGUGUGCUUUCC
ensembl:snRNA U2 U2 spliceosomal RNA